ensembl:lncRNA
GAAAUGCAUAUGAUGCAGCUUUCAAGUUGAAGGCGAUCAAUCUGGCUGUUGGAAAAGGAAAUAGAGCUGCUGACAGCGUGGAGCAUUGUCAAAAAAUCCACUAUCAUCAACGGGUUUCGAAAGGCUGGACUGCUGCGUGUUGAAGAGGGCAGCGAUCCAACAUCGGAUGAAGCAAUUCUGAGGCUAUUCAACUCCGACACCGAAGGAGAUGACUUCAGUGGUUUCAAUGCACAGGAGGAGGAAGAUAGUGACCAAUGACUUUCUUGUGGUUUUACCACAUUGCAGCCUGCCUGGCUGAGUUCCUGGAGCUGAAGGAUCAGACGCUACCUCUGGGCCUUCUCCUUCGAGCAGAAAGACAUCGACAAGAGUAUCCUGAUCCGUUGGACCAAAGGCUUUCUUUAACUGUUCAGGAGUGGAUGUGGUCAGGCUACUGAGAGAAGCCAUCCACAGCAGAGAGGACAGCGUUGAGACCAGAUUCAUCUCUGGAGGUAGAGGACUUCAGUAAGCAGCUCCAGGAGACCGUAAGAAUCCUAAGUGUGACAUCACUUUCCUCGUCUCGGAGGAUGGCAGUGGAAAAGGGCACUGACAUGGUAAUGGCGGUGGCACAGAAGCUGGCCAUAUCGCCCCGACUGUUAGAGGACAGCAGAGGAGGAUGAGGAAGAUGGAAAUGAAUAUGUUAGGUCAGAGGAGGCAUACUGGAAAGACCACUUGAAAUGCAGCACCAUAAAAAUGCCCCCCUCAAAUGCUUUUGUUGUACGGUACAUGCUAAACAGCUCACUCACUUUCUCCUACUGUAUGGAAAUUAAUGAAUUCAUUGAGGUUAACUUUUUUACAGUAGGCUAUUUUUUGUUGUUGUACAUGGUUAACUUUCAGCGAGGAAAUGCCCUUUUUCUUAAACUUCUGUGUGAAAUAUGUAUUAUGUAUAACAAAUGUUACAUUAUUUUAUACUAGAAUGAAAACUUGUAAUGGGUAAACUCUCACUGUAUUGCUAGUAUAUUUAGAGACCAGAUAUUUGAUACUUGGACAUCACUGCAGCUAUAUUUGAAUGGCAGCUUGGUAAUACAAUUAGUCUUGAAGUAAAAAUCUAUGAAUUUCAUGGUCAAGCCAAGUUCCACAGAAUGGAAAGAGACACAUGCUCACGCCCCCUGUUGGAGAAACUGUACAAAGGAACAUCAGGUCAUUAAAUCAAUGUUUUCCGCAAAGUUAUACAACUUUAGAAUAUUCAGUCACUCUUAAACAACAGACACCUUUCUGAACACGUGUUAUGUUAAUCAAAACUUACUGCAAAUAAAGAUG